CACACACAUAUAUAUAUAUAAACUAGAUCUAAAUUCCAGAAAUUGCAAGAUUUUAGAAAAUCAUAUUUUCAAGAUAGGUUUUCUUUAACUUAGAUCCUGGUAGUGAAAAUACAUUUGCAAUCCUAAAAAUACCAUUAAACUAGUUUCAUUAGGACUUAGAAAUAGUUUGCAGCUCAAGUAGAAAAGAGAUUAAACCUAUGUCGUAUUAAUGAGUAAAAUCUCACCUUGUUUAUCUUUUGAUGAAGUAACAUAAAUCAGUUCUCUCUCAGUACUGACUUUGAAAAUGUAUCCUUCAUGUUUCAAUCAACAGUCAGCCCUGAAAUGAACUUAUAGCUGCACCUAAUUUAUCUUCCUCAAAAAUCUGGUUGUUGAAUGUGUUGAAUUCAUUAGGCAAUGAAAGGGGGGAUGGGUACUUUUAUUUUUAUUCAUGCAUCAUUACAGGACAUGUAGGAACCUUAGAAAAUUCAAGAUGUAUAGGAUCAAAGUUGUUUCAGAAGACAAGAAGAUGCUGAGACUUUGAUUAGAGUUUGGAGUUCCUCAAAUUCAUUGGAGGUUGUUUGUUAAAAAUUGUAUCUUUUUGUUUGUGUAUGUGUGUGUGAGGGAGAAAGAAGGGGGUGAGGUUGACAGAGAAAAACUGUUAUGUCUCUCUAAUUAGAUGGGAAGCUUGCAAAGGUAAGGAAAUAUGUUUUGUUUACUGUUAUAUCCUCAAAAAUUUACAAAAUGCCUGAGACAAAAUAGAAGCUCAAUUAAUAAUACUUGAACACUUAAUGGCCAAUUAAUAACACUUGGAUGAACCUAUAGUAAAUAUAUUAUCCAAGAGCUGUGUAAUAUAAUGUAAAUUCUGUUCAUUUUUCCAUUUCUACAAGAUAAUUUUAUUAAAAAAUCAAUUACUAUUAUUAUGCUCCAUCAGUUCCUAUUUCAUUUAACUAUGGAGAGGGUUUGAAUAAUCCAGACCCUAGUUGGGUUAGACACUGCUAAAUUUUGCGUUUAGAGCAAGAACCAAGCAGCAUGAUUCACUCGUUACGUUUUAUUUUUAUGCAAUUCUAUACCCAGAUAUCUUUGUUUUAUCAGCGGCUCUUGUAAUGGUAGAGAGCUGUUGACAUCAAGCUUUCCUCAAUUCAAUUUUAUUGGUUGUCAGUUAACCACCUUAUCUAUGUAUUAGUUGCCCAUUGUUUUGAUUUUUGAGUAAUAUUUUAUUAUUUAGGUAUUCUACAAUUUGUUUUUUCAUUCACUACCUAAUGAACAUUUCUGGGUCAUAAUCCAAUGUAUUUAUUUAUUUAUUUAUUUUUACUUAAAAUGUUCUAAUGUUAGCCCUUAGGAGCUUUUUUAGGUUGUUUUCUGUGCCAUUUAAGCAUAUCUCCAGACUUUUUUGGAUAUUUCCUUAUUCUCCGACAGCAGAAGAUACUCCUAAUCAUCAGAACACGAUAACACAUGUAGAGCAGAGCACUGUGCACCAGUUACUAAUGCCAGAAGAGGACUCUCACUAUAUGGAGGGUAAUGAAGAUCAUCACAAUACCAGCCACCAGGAAUAGAAGUCCAGAUACUUCUGCCCACUGUCUGUUAGUAUUGGAGUCACCAAAAAAUCACAAGUCAAGUACUUGGUGGAAAAUUACUUUACUCACAAAAAGAUACAGAGCAAGAUCAGUUUCGGUAGUGGACAUCUGUCACCAUGGUCCCUCCUAAAAGACAAUGCAGGGCAACUGGCCUAUGAGCACCCAACUAGUGCUACACUAGAAGGACUCUGACACCUCCUCCAUGAAGUAUGAAAUAUCAAAAACUAGGGGCAUGCCUGAGCGCCAUUGAAACACAGUGCUUAAGCAGAACAAAGACGUAAAGACGUACUCAUUGAGUCUGAAACAGAGAAAGAUACUUUCUCACUAAAUCUAAACCUGGGAUAGGUACUGCCUUUCCCAAUACAACAGAUUUUAGUAAAUCCUCCAAAUUUGUUUGACUUUGUUCCAUUUGUUUUGGUAAUUAUCUAUGCUGUCCCUUUCUAUAUACAAUUAGCAUAAGCUAGUCAAUACAACAAAAAUAUAUACAGCAAAUUAGAUUGGGUUUGCAUCAUUCUAUAGAUUAGGAGAAUAUUGAACAUUAUAAAAAUAGUGAAUAUUCCAAUUCAUGAACUCAAUAUAUUUAUUCAUUUACUAAGACAUUCUUGAUUUCUUAUUCAGCAUUCGUAGGUAACAUGCAAAUCCUGUAUCUAUUUUUGUUAACUUUGUACCUACAUAUUUUGUUUUUCCUGAUGCUAUUGUAACUAUUACUUUAAAAUUUAAUUUCCAUGUGCCUAUAGUCCCAACUUCUUGGGAGACUGAGGCAAAAGACUCAGUUGGGCCCAGGAGGGAGUUUGAGUCUAGUCUGGGCAACACAGAACCCCACCUCUAAAAAUUAAAUUAAGUUAAAAUUAAAAAAAAAAAUUUCCAUUUGUUCAUGCCCAUUAUGCAAAUAUGUAAUUGACCUAGUACCCUGGAACAUUCCAAAAUUAUUUUACUAAAUCUGGAGAUUUUGUUAUAGAUCUAAAGACUGUGAAUUCAUAUGCAAAUAUGUUGCUUAUAUAAAUAGACUUAUUUUACCAUUUUUA
rnacentral:lncRNA from 1 species